AUGGGGUCUCUUCUGGUCCGGUCAAACAGAAGCAGCUGUGCGAGCCUGGAUGUCCAGUGUGGGUCGAGUGAGAGCGAGUACACUGCCGUCGCCUCCUCUGCUCCCUAUAAACACCGGAGCUUCAAAAUGCUUCACUCGGGACUAAGGGACACCCGGGAGCUAUCACACAUUUCUCUUCAUCAUGUAUCAUGUGUGGAUGUCUGCAUCAGGCGGCAACUUUCUCUUCAUCAUGUGUGGAUGUCUGCAUCAGGCGGCACCUUUCUCUUCAUCAUGUGUGGAUGUCUGCAUCAGGCGGCACCUUUCUCUUCAUCAUGUGUGGAUGUCUGCAUCGAGAGACUUCUGGCUAGAUUUCCUGGCCACGCCCAUCUUUGGCUGGUCACGAUCGCCAUUCUGGUGGCCGUGGGUAUAAGUCCCGCGGAGGCGCGUCAUUUCUUUCCCAAGACCGAGCAGACACGCGCGACCAAGCUAUAG
rnacentral:rRNA from 1 species